GAGCCUCUGGAAGUAUCCAAAUGUCAAUAAAUUAGCUAAUGCUCGCUGGGCCUUUACACGUCAUUUUCUGGGGAUGACUUCUUUGAAAAUGCAGACCAAUAGUUCUCCAAGUGUGGUUCCUGGUCCAACAGAGAGUAGCAUCACCUGGGAGCUUAUGAGAAAUGCAAUUCUCAGGCCUCACCCCAUACCUCCUGAAUCAGAAACUGGGCAAGUUUGAAAAUUACCAGGGUUUUUUCAACCUAGACACUAUUGACAUCGUUGAGUGUUUAGCAGCAUGCUAGCUCUUACCUACUGAAGCAGCUAAUGCGCUACCGAACACCCAAGUUGGUUCUCAGGAAAUACCAUUGUACCCAGUGACACGGUCAACUUGCACCAUUACCUCCUCAAGCCCAACACUAUAUCUGAAUUCUGGGGAGGAGACAGAACUUAAGGCUAAAGUGGGAUCACAGGCAAGUGGGAUCCUUGAGAUUCUUCACAAUUUAAAGCCUGGUGCAGACACAGAUGAGCCAUUAACCUGGGGAGCCCCAUGUUGAAGAUGAUGGAGCCAUGAGAUGGAGGAACCUGUUUCCUGGAAUCAGGAAGAGGACCACAGCGGAUCGAUGUCACCCAUUUUGGCUUUUACAUUUGUGAAGAUUUCUACUGUUUGGGACAAUACACAUUUUUGAAAUCUGUUUAUAAUAGCAGAUAAUGAUACUUUAAUUAAUGUUAUCACUUAUUAAUAAAAGGAAGAUCAAAACCUAAAUUUCAAUUAACUCAUGUUUAUGAUGAGUUGAUUUCCAGAGGAUUAAAAUUUUCUUACAA